AGAAUAUAGAAUUGUUGACGACAUUCCGACCGACUCCCGAGCGGGGUGCUUUUGUAUCGCCUAUCCGAUUCUCGAUAAGAGUACCUGCCGGUGCCGAACCACGUAACGGAGUCCUUUCUUUAUCCAAACCAUCUUUCCUAAAUCCACUAGCGGCAUCAAAAGGGGUUUCAUUCUUUCUAGACACUUCUGUCUCUAAGGAGAGCGACAUUUCCGCUUCGUCUGCUGUUAAAUAUGCGUCGCUGUCAACAGAACUAAUGUCAGAAUCGUCAAUUUCUCAACCUUUCCAGAGUUUACGGGAGGCAAAUCGUUGGCGCCUACGACAUCCUCCCGCAACCCCCAAAAAGGAGAGGCGUCUGUGUCGUCUGUUUCAAUUUAAUUUGAGGAUUGCGGAACAACGCAUCGGCAUUCAGCGAAAUCUACCUUACAAACGUUCGCGUUUCCGAUAAGAGGCUACGAAGAUAGGGACAAUCUUGACCCUUCGACCGUUACUGAUUCUAAUCUACGUGCAAUGUCGAUAACAGCUUCAAGAUCUGGUAUUUCUUGACUGUUUUUAUUUUUAAGCAUUAUUCUUAACAUUCCGUUCCGAAGGCCAUUAAUAAAUGUGGCUAUAGCCGUAUUAUUCAAUAAAUCAACAACACCGCUUAACUGUUCAGAAUUGUAUGUGUCCUUUGCUACUUCUAUUCCGGUAUUUAAUAUUUUACUUACUCGCGAUCCGAAAACCUCUACCGAAUCAUUAGUUCCCUGUUUCAAUCCCGUAAAUUCCUCGUUGAUACUAUGCAUGUUAAACGUACGCACGUAUGCCCUUUUAAGUAAUCCAAUUAACUCAUCUAAUGUACUUGGUUCCCGGCGAUUUGAAAGUACUAAUUUUGCAUGCCCCUCGAUUUUACCACGAAUUAAAAACAGAAGACCGGCUCUAUCCUCAGGCUUUACUUUGGAACUAAUCAGUUGACACUCCUUAAUAAAUUCAGUCAGAGAACAAGAUUUUCCAUCAAACUGAGGUAUCAAAUCCUUCACUAAAGAGAGACGAAGAUAUGACGCUGGAAGCAUACUAGAUGACUCUAUAGAGGUUGGAGUAUUUUUAGAAACAGCAGCAGCAAACGUAGUCGAGGACAAAGAUCGGUAGAAGAUGCCCCGGAAGAUGAAGAAAGUUCUGCAUUUGAUGAAUCUAUGUUUAAUUCCUCUACCAAAAAUGUAUUUUCCCGCAGGCCGAUUUUGCGACUCCUUUUGGCGCGCAUAUACUUUAACUUAUACGGCGGCAUUUUGUCAAAUUAUUUCUAACGGUUUCACUUAACGAGUUUUCUAUUUUCAAACACCAAAUUCCGUCCGUCGGUAAUCCGUUAUCUCGGUUGGCCUUGAAUCACGGGGAGAUCCUCUGGUUCUGCGAUUUGAUGAUGAUCUCUGUUUCCAAGUCGAAGAGAGGUCCAAUGAUGAUGUGAACGAGGUGCAUGUGAUUUCGGUGGAUGGCUUGCACGGCAGCCGAAAUCACCUGUCUCCGGUAUUCACCCUACGCUCUUGAGGAAACCGUGCCAAAACUCAAGAGGAAGAAGUUGCACUAAUGUUAACAAUGUUCACUUAUAUUAUAAAAGCUCAAUGAAGCAGUUCGUAAAACGUUCAGUUAUUUAUUUAACACACGCCCGCGAGCCGGCAAAGUUAUUAAAGCGUACACAAGUCUAACACAAUCACUUUGUUUUGUUUUGCGUUAUUUACAGUUAUUACACUGAAUACACUUUUUUAAAAUUAUGCCGUUUUAAAUUUAUCACCUUUAAAAGUUUAUCCCUUUUUGAAUAAUCCCUUUUUUUUUUAAACAUCCCACCGCUGUCACCAAUUUGUUGCGCGUGGAUUUCAGGUGUCUAGGGAUUUUUGUAUAAAUGUUACGUGGGUAAGGUGACCGUGGAGCGC